AGGCACUACGGGUAGAUGAGCCUGCUUUCUGCCAAUGGUUCAUACAGGCUAUUCUGUAUUCUAGUUACUAUAGACAAUCAAUGACAGGGUGUACUAGAGCCACAAUACAGCACAUACUAUUUAUUUAUUUAGAACUGUCUGUACCAAGUUCAACAAAAGUAGGAAAUAAAACUCCAAUCUCCUGACAUGGCUUUAGUUGGAGUUAGAGCUUCAUACCACAGGAUUCUUAACCAGAUCGAGCUCAAACUACCUGCUAAACUGAGACCUUUCUACAACCAUCCAGCAGGUCCAAAGACAGUCUUCUUCUGGGCACCAGUGUGUAAAUGGGGUCUGGUUAUGGCUGGCAUGGCUUGAUAUGACAAGGCCAGCUGAUAAACUGAGUCUCUCUCAGUCUGGAGUACUCAUGACUACAGGUAAUGGACAUUGUGGGAAAGACAAUGUUUGACAUUUACAUCCACUAUACAACAGGAACAAAUUCCUGAAGCUGA